CGAAAGCCUGACGGAGCAACGCCGCGUGAGGGAUGAAGGCCUCUGGGCUGUAAACCUCUUUUCUCAAGGAAGAAGAUCUGACGGUACUUGAGGAAUAAGCCACGGCUAAUUCCGUGCCAGCAGCCGCGGUAAUACGGGAGUGGCAAGCGUUAUCCGGAAUUAUUGGGCGUAAAGCGUCCGCAGGCGGUUCUGUAAGUCUGCCGUUAAAGCGUGGAGCUUAACUCCAUUUCGGCGGUGGAAACUGCGGGACUUGAGUGUGGUAGGGGCAGAGGGAAUUCCCGGUGUAGCGGUGAAAUGCGUAGAUAUCGGGAAGAACACCAGUGGCGAAGGCGCUCUGCUGGGCCAUAACUGACGCUCAUGGACGAAAGCCAGGGGAGCG
rnacentral:rRNA from 1 species